rnacentral:rRNA from 1 species
GACGAACGCUGGCGGCGUGCUUAACACAUGCAAGUCGAACGGAAAGGCCCUGCUUUUGUGGGGUGCUCGAGUGGCGAACGGGUGAGUAACACGUGAGUAACCUGCCCUUGACUUUGGGAUAACUUCAGGAAACUGGGGCUAAUACCGGAUAGGAGCUCCUGCUGCAUGGUGGGGGUUGGAAAGUUUCGGCGGUUGGGGAUGGACUCGCGGCUUAUCAGCUUGUUGGUGGGGUAGUGGCUUACCAAGGCUUUGACGGGUAGCCGGCCUGAGCGGGUGACCGGCCACAUUGGGACUGAGAGACGGCCCAGACUCCUACGGGAGGCAGCAGUGGGGAAUAUUGCACAAUGGGCGGAAGCCUGAUGCAGAAACGCCGCGGGCGGGAUGACGGCCUUCGGGUUGUAAACCGCUUUCGCCUGUGACGAAGCGUGAGUGACGGUAAUGGGUAAAGAAGCACCGGCUAACUACGUG